rnacentral:rRNA from 1 species
AUUGAACGCUGGCGGCAUGCCUUACACAUGCAAGUCGAACGGCAGCACGGACUUCGGUCUGGUGGCGAGUGGCGAACGGGUGAGUAAUAUAUCGGAACAUACCUUGUAGUGGGGGAUAACUAUCCGAAAGGAUAGCUAAUACCGCAUACGCUCUAAGGAGGAAAGUGGGGGAUCUUCGGACCUCAUGCUAUAAGAGUGGCCGAUAUCUGAUUAGCUAGUUGGUGAGGUAAAGGCUCACCAAGGCGACGAUCAGUAGCUGGUCUGAGAGGACGACCAGCCACACUGGAACUGAGACACGGUCCAGACUCCUACGGGAGGCAGCAGUGGGGAAUUUUGGACAAUGGGGGCAACCCUGAGCCAGCAAUGCCGAGUGAGUGAAGAAGGCCUUCGGGUUGUAAAGCUCUUUUGUCAGGGAAGAAACGGUUGUGGCUAAUAUCCAUGGCUAAUGACGGUACCUGAAGAAUAAGCACCGGCUAACUACGUGCCAGCCGCCGCCGUAAGAC